UACGUAGGGUGCGAGCGUUGUCCGGAAUUACUGGGCGUAAAGAGCUCGUAGGUGGUUUGUCGCGUUGUCCGUGAAAACUCACAACUCAAUUGUGGGCGUGCGGGCGAUACGGGCAGACUGGAGUACUGCAGGGGAGACUGGAAUUCCUGGUGUAGCGGUGGAAUGCGCAGAUAUCAGGAGGAACACCGGUGGCGAAGGCGGGGUCUCUGGGGCCGUAACUGACGCUGAGGAGCGAAAGCGUGGGGAGCAAACAGG
rnacentral:rRNA from 1 species